AUGAACGCUAGCGGGAGGCCUAACCCAUGCAAGCCGAGCGGUAGAGUCUCUUCGGAGACUUGAGAGCGGCGCACGGGUGCGGAACACGUGUGCAACCUGCCUUUAUCUGGGGGAUAGCCUUUCGAAAGGAAGAUUAAUACCCCAUAAUAUACUGGAUGGCAUCAUCUGGUAUUGAAAACUCCGGUGGAUAGAGAUGGGCACGCGCAAGAUUAGAUAGUUGGUGAGGUAACGGCUCACCAAGUCAGCGAUCUUUAGGGGGCCUGAGAGGGUGAUCCCCCACACUGGUACUGAGACACGGACCAGACUCCUACGGGAGGCAGCAGUGAGGAAUAUUGGACAAGGGGUGAGAGCCUGAUCCAGCCAUCCCGCGUGAAGGACGACGGCCCUAUGGGUUGUAAACUUCUUUUGUAUAGGGAUAAACCUAGAUACGUGUAUCUAGCUGAAGGUACUAUACGAAUAAGCACCGGCUAACUCCGUG
rnacentral:rRNA from 1 species